GUGUCAGCAGCCGCGGUAAUACGUAGGGUCCGAGCGUUGUCCGGAUUUAUUGGGCGUAAAGAGCUCGUAGGCGGUUUCGUAAGUCGGAUGUGAAAUCUCAGGGCUCAACCCGGAAACUGCACCCGAUACUGCGAUGACUUGAGUCUGGUAGGGGAACACGGAAUUCCUGGUGUAGCGGUGAAAUGCGCAGAUAUCAGGAGGAACACCGAUGGCGAAGGCAGUGUUCUGGGCCAGUACUGACGCUGAGGAGCGAAAGCGUGGGGAGCAAACAGGAUUAGAUACCCUGGUAGUCC
rnacentral:rRNA from 1 species